AUUGAACGCUGGCGGCAGGCCUAACACAUGCAAGUCGAACGAGUGGCGGACGGGUGAGGAAUGUCUUGGAAAGUGGCUGAUGGAGGGGGCUAAUUGCUGGAAACGGUAGAUAAUAGCGCAUACUGCCAGAUGGGGUGAGAUGGGAGUAGCUUGUUGGUGGGGUAACGGCUACCCAAGGCGACGGUCCCUAGCUGGUCUGAGAGGAGUACCCGCCACACUGGAACUGAGACACGGUCCAGACUCCUACGGGAGGCAGCAGUGGGGAAUAUUGCUCAAUGGGCGCAAGCCUGAUGCAGCCAUGCCGCGUGUAUGAAGAAGGCCUUCGGGUUGUAAAGUACUUUUAGCAGAGAGGCGUUACCCGAAGAAGAAGCACCGGCUAACUCCGUGCCAGCAGCCGCGGGAAUAC
rnacentral:rRNA from 1 species